AAUGAACGCUGGCGGCGUGCCUAAUACAUGCAAGUCGAACGCGAAAGUCCUUCGGGAUGAGUAAAGUGGCGCACGGGUGAGUAAUGCAUGAGAACAUGCCCUUAGAUGGGGAAUAACGUUUGGAAACGAACGCUAAUACCGCAUAAUCUCGAGAGAGUAAAGGUGGCGCCGUAAGGGCUACCGUCUAAGGAUUGGCUCAUGUCCCAUUAGCUAGUUGGCGGGGUAAAGGCCCACCAAGGCAACGAUGGGUAUGUGGUCUGAGAGGAUGAUCACACACACUGGAACUGAGACACGGUCCAGACUCCUACGGGAGGCAGCAGUAGGGAAUAUUGCACAAUGGGGGAAACCCUGAUGCAGCAACGCCGCGUGAGUGAAGAAGGCCCUUGGGUUGUAAAGCUCUUUAGCGCGGGAAGAAGGUGGAUAUGGUGAAUAAUCAUGUUCGCUGACGGUACCGCGAGAAUAAGCACCGGCUAAUUUCGUGCCAGCAGCCGCCGUAA
rnacentral:rRNA from 1 species